GGCAAUGGUAUCUCAGUGGUUAAGACGUUGGGCUACUGAUCGGAAGGUCAUGUGUUCAAACCCCAUCAAGGCCA